CCGCCCGGAGCCCACCACCACCCGGGCCACCGCGACCUAAGACCACACAGUUUCCCCUAGGCAGCCGCCGCGUCUGGGGGAUAUUCUGACAACCGGAAGUCACGUUAGAAACCCGGAAGUCUUGGGAGCACGUGAUUAUAGCCUCUUCCGGCAACCAUUAGUGGGCACGGUUGCUAGGGAGACACGGCGGUAACCUAUAACUUAAAACUUUGUUGUCAUUAGGGAAUAGGUGGGAAUAUGGUUGUGGGAUUAAUGAAACACGGUACCAAAGAGAUUCCAGAAAGAGAAUUGGUGUAGGAAUAGGGCCUACAUGGGAGGAGGUCAAAGAUGCUUCUUGGAGGGAGCCGAUAACCCGCGAGUGGAGCUUACCCGAGACAGGGCAUCACUGUGGUGCCAAGGCUGGUCUUGAACUCCUGGGCUCAAGCAAUCUGCUCACCUCAGCCUCCCAAGGUGCUAGGAUUACAGGAGUGAACCACUGCGCCUUGCCUGGCUAUGCCAUUUAUGUUCAGAAGAUGGUGAUGCCCAAAUUAUUGGACUCAAUUUUUCGUCCCUCUAUCAUAGUAUUAUACUGUAUGUCCAUACCCUUGUCAUGGCCUUAUGAUGGGCAGAGUGGACUUUCCUGCCCUUUGUUUGGGGAGUUGGUAGAGUGAUAUCCUUGGGCAAAAAGUGUUAGCAGGUGUGACCCGAACAGAGGCUUUGCUCAGUUGGCUUGCCCUCUUGUGCUUCUGCCAUAACCAUGAGAAGCACCUCCUGAAUAACCACUGCCCCUUCACUCUGGGCUCCUGAAGGAGAUAUUUGGAGCAGACCUGAACCCAGCUGGAAGUCUGGGGACAAUCCCAGGUGAACCCAGCCAACAUCAGCAAAAUCCAGCCAACCUGCAUGCAGAGGAGUGAAUGAGAAAAGUAAAUACUUGUAUUUUAAACCACUAAGAUUAUUUUGGCGAUAGGUGACCAACAUGAUGCUUUUGCAGAACUUUAAUUGAAUUUUAUUUCUAAAAUGUCCACUAUAGGAUUAAAUACUAUCAUCACAAACAUGUCAAAUAACUGUGUAAGAGAAAUUUUAUCUUUUAGUAAGUUUUAAAAUGCUGUGAAAAUUAACCCAUUGGUACAAUAAAUAAUUUGAGUAAAUGCAAUAUAAAUUUCUUAAAA